GACGAACGCUGGCGGCGUGCUUAACACAUGCAAGUCGAACGGAAAGGCCCUGCUUUUGUGGGGUGCUCGAGUGGCGAACGGGUGAGUAACACGUGAGUAACCUGCCCUUGACUUUGGGAUAACUUCAGGAAACUGGGGCUAAUACCGGAUAGGAGCUCCUGCUGCAUGGUGGGGGUUGGAAAGUUUCGGCGGUUGGGGAUGGACUCGCGGCUUAUCAGCUUGUUGGUGGGGUAGUGGCUUACCAAGGCUUUGACGGGUAGCCGGCCUGAGAGGGUGACCGGCGACAUUGGGACUGAGAUACGGCCCAGACUCCUACGGGAGGCAGCAGUGGGGAAUAUUGCACAGUGGGCGGAAGCCUGAUGCAGCAGCGCCGCGUGCGGGAUGACGGCCUUCGGGUUGUAAACCGCUUUCGCCUGUGACGAAGCGUGAGUGACGGUAAUGGAUAAAGAAGCACCGGCUAACUACGUG
rnacentral:rRNA from 1 species